rnacentral:rRNA from 1 species
CCCGGGCCUUGUACACACCGCCCGUCACACCAUGGGAGUUGGUUUGACCGUUAAGCUGGUGCGCCAACCCGUAAGGGGGCAGCCAACACGGUCGGGUCAGCGACUGGGGUG